GCCUGGUCUGGCGCGCGCUCGCUGCGCUGCAGUCGCGGCAGCAACAGGGCGGUUCGGUCCAUCAUCAGGUU
rnacentral:tRNA from 2 species